AACGAACGCUGGCGGCGUGGAUAAGACAUGCAAGUCGAACGAAACGAGAGCUUAGCUUGCUUUGCUUAAGUUUAGUGGCGGACGGGUGAGUAACACGUGAGCAACCUGCCCUGAUGUGGGGGAUAGCCAUUCGAAAGGAUGAUUAAUACCGCAUGUGACAGUAAUGUUAAAGGUGGCUUCGGCUGCCGCAUCAGGAUGGGCUCGCGGCCUAUCAGCUUGUUGGUGAGGUAACGGCUUACCAAGGCUACGACGGGUAACUGGUCUGAGAGGAUGAUCAGUCACACUGGAACUGAGACACGGUCCAGACACCUACGGGUGGCAGCAGUCGAGAAUCAUUCGCAAUGGACGAAAGUCUGACGGUGCGACGCCGCGUGGAGGAUGAAGGCUCUAGGGUCGUAAACUCCUGUCAUCGGUGAGUAAGGCAAUGUUGGUUAAUAGCCCUCGUUGUUGAUAGUAGCCGAAGAGGAAGAGACGGCUAACUCUG
rnacentral:rRNA from 1 species